rnacentral:rRNA from 1 species
CCUACGGGAGGCAGCAGUGGGGAAUAUUGCGCAAUGGGGGCAACCCUGACGCAGCAACGCCGCGUGAGUGAAGAAGGCCUUCGGGUUGUAAAGAUCUUUAAUCGGGGACGAAUUUUGACGGUACCCGAAGAAUAAGCUCCGGCUAACUACGUGCCAGCAGCCGCGGUAAUACGUAGGGAGCAAGCGUUAUCCGGAUUUACUGGGUGUAACGGGCGUGUAGGCGGGCAUGCAAGCCAGAAGUGAAAUCUUGGGGCUUAACCCCCAAAUUGCUUUUGGUACUGCGUGUCUUGAGUGAUGGAGAGGCAGGCGGAAUUCCCAGUGUAGCGGUGAAAUGCGUAGAUAUUGGGAGGAACUCCAGUGGCGAAGGCGGCCUGCUGGACAUUAACUGACGCUGAGGCGCGAAAGCGUGGGGAGCAAACAGGAUUAGAUACCCUAGUAGUC